rfam:Oryza glumipatula chromosome 6, whole genome shotgun sequence.
AAAAAGGCAAACCGUAGGUUCCCGUGCCAACGUUUGACUAUCCGUCUUAUAUGAAAUUUUUUUAUAAUUAGUAUUUUCAUUGUUGUUAGAUGAUAAAACAUGAUAAAUACUUUAUUGUGACUUAUCUUUUUAAUUUUUUUCAUAAUUUUUUCAAAUAAGACGAACGGUCAAACAUUGGAUACGGAAACAUUGGAUACAGAAACU